CAGAGCUGUACGCGACUUAAGGAAAGAGAAAAGAACAGCAGACUUUUUAGUUGACAAGAUUAUUCAUGAAGCUCUGAGGAAAUCUGCACAAAAGCAACACAUGUGAGCUGAAUAGGCCAGUGAGGGUGUAAGUAGAAAUGCUGGACUGUAGUUAUAGAUUUGAGGAAAGAAUGGAGAAAGACUUCUUGUUCUGUUCUGAUGGUUUCAGGCGAUAGACACAAGGGGGGCAUUGAGCUUUGGGACUGGAUAUGAGGAGGGGGUGGCAAGGCGGAGGUCAGUGCUUGGAUGGUGGCGGCAACGCAGAGGAGAGGAGUGGAGAGGAAACAGGGGGUGGGGGAUGGUAGGAGGAAAGGCUUUUCCUGUUCUACAUCCCUUCAGCACUGUCCCUCCCUUCUGAGACCCCCUCUGCACUUCCUCAAUCGCAGACUCUGUUUUCAGCCCCCUCUUGUAUGAUGCUCAUCUCCUAACUCGUGCUGACACUGACUUGGGAGAAGGAAAUUGGCGGUGCAGGUGCCACCAGUCUUUUCUUCUACUUCUUCCCUCCCUUCUCUGUCCCCCUUUCCCGUCAUAUGGUCAGCCCCUUCUUUCUGGCAGGCAGGGGGACGUGGUGCUAUCAGCUCCACUCUGACAGAGACAUCUCAGGCCCUAUCAAUCAUCAAUCUGCCCAGUAUAUAUGUCUUUGCCCCGUGUGUGUGUGUGUGUGUGUAAACAGGAGGGGGAAGCUGCAUCCGGAAGGUUCCCAGUCAACACAGAUUUGUGUGACGGCAGCUUCAGUGACUUCAUUAUUUGAGACAAUGCGUCUCGGGUGAAACAGGAGGAGGAGCGGUUCCACCUGCCACAAAGCCGCACUGGAGAAAUCGGACACUAAAGACACCAGAUGCCGCAAGAAUGCUGGGGUGUGCAGCUUUCCGUUUGGAGGGGAUCCACGAGGACAAGUGGUGAUGAGCAAGACAGAUCCGGUGAAGGGUGAGUUGCAUGCACAUAUUACACAAAUAACAGUGAUUCAUAUUAGUGCACGCAAAAUAAAAAUAAAAAUGAUAAAAAACUGCUGUAAGUCACGCAGCUGAUCUCUGGCCUCUUUGCAGAUUUUCACUGAUUUGCAACAUGCCAGUCACUGUCACUGCCUUGUCAUUUCCUCUACUAGAUGCAGAUCCUGCAUGUGGUUUCACACUCAUUCACACAAAAACAUCAUUAACCAAUCAUCUCAUUACAGACGGCCUAAUUAUUUCACCAUGCCUCAUGUUUUCUUCCGGUUUUGCUGUGAAACCACACAAUGAAAAAUAUAAUAUAAUAUAAUAUAAUAUAAUAUAAUAUAAUAUAAUAUAAUAUAAUAUAAUAUAAUAUAUGUAUUAUAUACAGUAUAUCGAUUAUACACACAUUGUUACCAAUAAAUGUGACACAUCUAUGAUAUAUUCCCAAGAAAAUACAUUUGCAAAGAAAUGCUUUUCCCCCUCCACAUCCUCCAUUAUUAUAUUUGUUAUACUUGACCAACUUCUACAGAUUGCAAAAAAAUCUACUAGAUCUACUGCUGCUGCUCUCAACAUGAUCAUCUUCUGAACACACACACUCAGCCUUGAUGGGCUAAAAGGUCAGUGCUGUCAGGCACAUGGUGGGCAGGGACUGGUGGUGCAUCGCCUGCAUGUACAACACAUAUCCUGCCUGCCUCUUUGUAUGGCCACAUGUCCAUUUCCAUCUGCACCUGAGUGUCUGACACCGAUUACAAACAUUUGUGCAAACGCCCGUCUGCACGUGACCCCGUGUGUGCGCGCGUUUCUCGUGCGCGGAAAGAAAACGGGGUACGGCUUGUCCGAACGGCGCCUCUUCAAUCACGUUAGUGCGAAAGGACGUUGAAGGGCAGGGAGGGGCAAGGGAGGAAGGGGCAACGGGGAGAAAAGGGUCAGACGUUAAUGAAAGCAGCAAUCUCUCCUGUCAUGUUAGAUCUAAGGCCUAACUCUCGCCCUCAUCCAGUGUGUGUGUGUGUGUGUGUGCGUAGGGGGAAAUCGGUGCUGUCAUGUCUGAUAGUGUGGCCCAACGUUCACUGUCCAGUCUGAUGGCCUGUUUGCAGGCGGCUCGGUCUGGUCACUUCACAUCAGUGUGAGGGACAUGUGUACAUGUGCUUGAAAUGCGUGUGUGCAUGCGCGUGCAACUAAAGAUCUCUUAAAUGUGUGUGUGUUGUGUAAGGCAUGUACGACAUGGUAUGUGACUGUCUGCAUGCAGAGACAGAGAGGAAAAGAGAAAGACUGUCACAAAAUAUAUGUAGUAUGUCAGUAUGGAUGUGCAUCAGGACAGACAGAUGUGAGUAGGGGAGCCAUGCAGUUCAAAAUGAAGCAAAAUUCCUGCUAAAUCGCAACGCCUGCUUUCUAAUCACUUAAUUUCACUCAAGAAUUUGAGGUCAGAACAGAAGACGUGGUUAAUCUCCAAAGUGCUUUAAGCCUUUCACACAAGCUUAAUACAUAAGCCUUGAAUAUCUCAGACUUGGAUUUUAUUCACACACACACAUCACAAAACAAAGGGACAAGAAGUAUAGUCUAAUGGAUACUGUGAUCUUAAUUAAUUAGGCCAGGUUCAGUCCUUGGUCAAAGCGGGUCCCUGGUUUCUUAGUUCACUGACCAUUACGCCGUUCAUCAAUCGAAUAACAAAUGAGCUGUUGGAGGAUAUUUGGGCACAUCACGAGUGACACACACUCAGUCUUUGGCAAGAGCCCAAAGACUGUAAUUAUCACACGAGGAAAAUGUUUUUUUUUCUUCUUCCUCCUUUUGUCCUUUUAGGGCAACAUUUUGAAUCCUCUCCUCUCUUCUCUCCUCUUCUCUCUCCAUAUCCUUCCCCACCCUUCAUAUCCCAUAAUGGAUCUUGAUCUGCGCUGGUUGUCCUGGUAGCAGGGCUGCAAAUGCACUCUCUUAAGUGAGUCCUAAUAAGGUCAUGUCAAAGCUCGUCCAUCCUGCCGGCUACACAUAAAGGCUCUCUCUCAACAUCACUUAGUGCCUCUUCCUUCUUUAAACAUGGCAGCACGAGCAGUCAGGGCGGGGACGACGCUAAACAACCCAAAUGUCUACUUGGCAUAUACGAUGUGGCAAACUAGGCCAGAGAUGCAGCCAUGCUUAAAGGUUCAUGGCUAAUUCCCCUGACCAACACCCCCUGUCUGCUUUUUUUUUUUUUUUUUUUGCACACAUGCUGUGCAAAGGGGCUAUGCUAAUUACCCCCGGCCCUGAAUGACAAUACGCUCUCUGUCACUCUGCGCUCAUAAGCGUCCGUGCAAUUACUCAGCUCCACUCCAGAGGCUUUUUUUUUUUUUUUGUUUUUUUUUUUUGUUUUGUUUAGAGGACCGUCAUCUGAAAUGGUCGGAAACGCCACGGCCGCCCAGUGUCUUAACAUGGGAGAAAGUUAAACCUUUGCUCCUCACGCC